CAUAGGUUUGGUCCCAGCCUUCCCGUUAACUUUCAAUAGACUUACACAUGCAAGCAUCUACGCCCCGGUGAGAAUGCCCUCUAAGUCAACCGGACCAUGAGGAGCGGGUAUCAAGCACACUAUUCGUAGCUCAUGACGCCUUGCUUAACCACACCCCCACGGGAGACAGCAGUGACAAAAAUUAAGCCAUGAACGAAAGUUUGACUAAGCCAUAUUGAUUAGGGUUGGUAAAUCUCGUGCCAGCCACCGCCGUCAUACGAUUAACCCAAGCUAACAGGAAUACGGCGUAAAACGUGUUAAAGCGCUACACCAAAUAGAGUUAAGUUUUUAUUGAACUGUAAAAAGUCAUAAUUACAAUAAAAAUA
rnacentral:rRNA from 1 species